CCUGCCUUCCUCAUGAGCGAAUCAAUGGUUUCUGCAUGUGUCCAUCCUGCCAAAGAUGAAGCCUAAGUUACAAAUUAUUCAAUCCAGAUGUGGAAUGUACUGAUCAGUUGACUCUCUAUUUUACAGUUAUUGCUCAUCCCAAAGAAAAAAAUAGCGGGCUAUAGCGCCGCUAUAGCUGCGGAAGAAGCUCGGCGCUAAGCUAUUCGUAUUUUUUCCGCUAUGGCAAUUUUCACCGCUAUUUGCCGCUAUAGCGCCGCUAAAUUGCAUAGCUUAGCGUUUUAAAUAGCGGCGCUAUUCCAACAGCCCAUAAAUGUGAAAGCCUAACAUAGGUUCACUCUAGUGUAAGAAUCAUUUAGUGUCUAGCAUUUUACUGCUAGUGUAGUUCCUAACAUGGAUAUUUAUUUUGGACUUAUUGCAAUUCCAAUUGCCUGCAUAGGUUCACUCAAAAAAAAGGAGCAGAUUGCUUCAUGGCAGAAUGAGUGACCUCGUGUAUGUAAAAUUUAACUCCAGGCUGAAGCAUAAAAGAGAGAAUAAGGCAAAGGACCCCAUUGAGAAGCAAAUUGUAGAUAUUCUAGAAGAUGAUGACAAUGAAUUUAUCACUGGAGUUGCACUUGCUGCAGAUGAUGAACAAGAAGAACCAAAAGAUCCCCAAGCUGAAGGUGAGAAAGAACAUGAACAAGAGGUUGCACCAGGAGAACCAGAACAUGGUAAUAAAAGGAAGAGAGUUGUCCGCCCUAGGAUUAAGAAGAGGGUGAAGAAGAUCACUGAUAUUAAUGAUGGCAAACAAUCUGUGCCUGAGAUUGUAGCUGCUUCGUCUUAUGAUACUGGAAAUGAUGAUGACCAUGAUGUCAAUGUGCAUCGUCAGUCUACAACUGCAAGUGAUCAAUCUUCUCAGUCCAACUCUGAGAACUCAAUCUCAGACUAGAUUGCACUUGUGUCCUUGAAAUUGCACUACAACAGUGACAAUUUAAUUAGUAUUUUCUACUUAUAAGUUAUCAUUUGCUACUAAUUUGGUAUUUUGGGCAAUUAAACUUUCAUGAGCCAUGUUGUAAUGUCAUAUUGUAAUGUUAUCUAGACUUGUGAAACCUUAGAAACAUAUUUAUGUUCAUCAAAUUUCAUAUUUGCCAUAUUUUUGGCAUCAAUUACUGGUGUUUUUAUGAUUUUUUUUAUAAAACCGCUAUCUGGCAUAGCGCCGCUAUAGCUGCGUAGCUUCUGAAAAAAAAGUUGCCGCUAUUUUCAAUAGCCCGCUAUUUAAAACUUUGCUCAUCAUAAUGUAUUUGGUCAAUGAGGACUUGAAAAAUGAUGAGAUUGCAUAUUUGCUUAACUGAUUCCUACUUAUCAUCCCUUGUAAAAAUUCUAGAAACUAAAGAACUCUGUAAAAAUGAAAAAGUGUGCAUCAAAAGGAAAGUGUUCACCUUC
rnacentral:lncRNA from 1 species